rnacentral:rRNA from 1 species
UACAGAGGGUGCGAGCGUUUGUCCGGAAUCACUGGGCGUAAAGGGCGCGUAGGCGGUCUGCUAAGCGUGCGGUGAAAGCCUGGGGCUCAACCCCAGGUCUGCCGUGCGAACUGGUGGACUAGAGCACUGUAGAGGCAGGUGGAAUUCCGGGGUGUAGCGGUGGAAUGCGUAGAGAUCCGGAAGAACACCGGUGGCGAAGGCGGCCUGCUGGGCAGUUGCUGACGCUGAGGCGCGGACAGCGUGGGGAGCAAACAGG